rnacentral:SRP_RNA from 2 species
GCCAGGCGUGGUGGUGCACGCCUGUAAUCCCAGCUACUCAGGGGGCUGAGACGGAAGAAUUGCUUGAACCCAGGAGGCAUAGGUUGCAGUGAGCCAAGAUCACACCACUGCACUCCAUCCUGGGAGACACAGUAAGACUCUGUCUCAA